UACGGAGGGUGCAAGCGUUGUCCGGAAUCACUGGGCGUAAAGGGCGCGUAGGCGGCUCAUGAAGGCUGUGGUGAAAGUCCGGGGCUCAACCUCGGAUCGGCCGUGGCGACUCGUGGGCUGGAGCACUGUAGAGGCGGGUGGAAUUCCGGAUGUAGCGGUGGAAUGCGUAGAGAUCCGGAAGAACACCAGUGGCGAAGGCGGCCCGCUGGGCAGUGGCUGACGCUGAGGCGCGACAGCGUGGGGAGCAAACAGG
rnacentral:rRNA from 1 species